CUCACUCUCCUUAUGCCAACAUCAAUUACCGAAGAAGGUGACCAGAUUCGCAUUUUUAAAUUUGAUGAACUGAAAUGAAAUUCCUUAGUUGUGGUUUUGUGUUUCUCAUUAGGUUUGAUCUGAUCUAUUGUUUCGUUGAGUAAUCUUGGAAAUUUUUAAGAAAGUGGCAAAGAUGGAGGCUUUUAGCUAAUACAUUUUAUCUUUGUCCAAAUACUAUCGUCC
rnacentral:lncRNA from 1 species